CAGUCGCCGCGGUAAUACGGAGGGUGCAAGCGUUAAUCGGAAUUACUGGGCGUAAAGCGCACGCAGGCGGUUUGUUAAGUCAGAUGUGAAAUCCCCGGGCUCAACCUGGGAACUGCAUCUGAUACUGGCAAGCUUGAGUCUCGUAGAGGGGGGUAGAAUUCCAGGUGUAGCGGUGAAAUGCGUAGAGAUCUGGAGGAAUACCGGUGGCGAAGGCGGCCCCCUGGACGAAGACUGACGCUCAGGUGCGAAAGCGUGGGGAGCAAACAGGAUUAGAUACCCGUGUAGUCCCUGUCUCUUAUAC
rnacentral:rRNA from 1 species